rnacentral:rRNA from 1 species
GUCUGCGGUCAUGCUACCCUGAGUACGCCUGAUCUCGUCUGAUCUCAGAAGCUAAACAGGGUUGGGCCUUUUUAGUUCUUGGAUGGGAGACCACCUAGGAAUACCAGGUGCUGUAGGCU